GAUGAACGCUGGCGGCGUGCCUAAUACAUGCAAGUCGAGCGAACAGACGAGGAGCUUGCUCCUAUGACGUUAGCGGCGGACGGGUGAGUAACACGUGGAUAACCUACCUAUAAGACUGGGAUAACUUCGGGAAACCGGAGCUAAUACCGGAUAAUAUCUUUAACCGCAUGGUUCAAUAGUGAAAGACGGUUUUGCUGUAACUUAUAGAUGGAUCCGGUCCUCAUUAGCUAGUUGGUAAGGUAACGGCUUACCAAGGCGACGAUGCUUAGCCGACCUGAGAGGUGGACCGGCCACACUGGAACUGAAAAACGGUCAAAACUCCUCCGGGAGGCACCAUUAGGGAAUCUUCCGCAAUGGGCGAAAGCCUAACGGACCACCGCCGCGUGAGUGAUGAAGUUCUUCGGAUCUUAAAACUCUGUUAUUAGGGAAGACCAAAUGUGUAAGUAACUAUUCACGUAUUGGCGGUACCUAAUCAGAAAGCCACGGCUAAUUACGUG
rnacentral:rRNA from 1 species